rnacentral:rRNA from 1 species
CCCCUGAGUUCUGGGCCGCACGCGCGCUACACUGACAGAGCCAGCGAGUUUUUUCCUUGGCCGGAAGGCCUGGGUAAUCUUGUGAAACUCUGUCGUGCUGGGGAUAGAGCAUUGCAAUUAUUGCUCUUCAACGAGGAAUACCUAGUAAGCGUGAGUCAUCAGCUCGCGUUGAUUACGUCCCUGCCCUUUGUACACACCGCCCGUCGCUACUACCGAUUGAAUGGCUUAGUGAGGCCUUCGGACUGGCUACCGGGACCCGGAGACGGGACCUGGCUGCCGGGAAGUUGGACGAACUUGGUCAUUUAGAGGAAGUAAAAGUCGUAACAAGGUUUCCGUAGGUGAACCUGCGGAAGGAUCAUUAAUGAAUUUGGGCUUGCCUCUGGCGCCCGCCUUCAUCUUCUUCCUACCCUGUGAACCGGCUUUAGCCGAUUUUACUUUAUUUUAUCACAACAGUCAACAUAUGUAAAACCUAUAAUAAAGAAAAACUUUCAACAAUGGAUCUCUUGGCUCUCGCAUCGAUGAAGAACGCAGCGAAAUGCGAUAAGUAAUGUGAAUUGCAGAAUUCAGUGAAUCAUCGAAUCUUUGAACGCAGCUUGCACUCUCUGGUAUUCCGGAGAGUAUGUCUGUUUGAGUGUCUUGAAACUAUCAACCCACCGUUUUUACUUUGAAAAUGAUUGUGGUGUUUGGAUUAUGGGUGUUUAUGCUGACUUGCAUAAAGUCAGCUCGCCCGAAAGACAUCAGCGGUAUUGUGCUACACUACCUGGCUUGGACUUGGCGUAAUAGUAAAUUCCUAAGGACACUGUUCUCCCAAUGGGCCGGGUUGAAUAAGAAAACGCUUCCCAAUUUCUUUAAACUUCUUAAAAAUUUUGGGCCUCCAAUCAAAAAAGGACUACCCCCCUGAACUUAAGCCAUAUCAAUAAACCGGAGGGAAAAAAAACUUACCAGG